AUUGAACGCUGGCGGCAGGCCUAACACAUGCAAGUCGGACGGUAGCACAGAGAGCUUGCUCUUGGGUGACGAGUGGCGGCCGGGUGAGUAAUGUCUGGGGAUCUGCCCGAUAGAGGGGGAUAACCACUGGAAACGGUGGCUAAUACCGCAUAACGUCGCAAGACCAAAGAGGGGGACCUUCGGGCCUCUCACUAUCGGAUGAACCCAGAUGGGAUUAGCUAGUAGGCGGGGUAAUGGCCCACCUAGGCGACGAUCCCUAGCUGGUCUGAGAGGAUGACCAGCCACACUGGAACUGAGACACGGUCCAGACUCCUACGGGAGGAAGCAGUGGGGAAUAUUGCACAAUGGGCGCAAGCCUGAUGCAGCCAUGCCACGUGUAUGAAGAAGGCCUUCGGGUUGUAAAGUACUUUCAGCGGGGAGGAAGGCGGUGAGGUUAAUAACCUCGCCGAUUGACGUUACCCGCAGAAGAAGCACCGGCUAACUCCGUGCCAGCCGCCGCCGUAA
rnacentral:rRNA from 1 species